rnacentral:rRNA from 1 species
CAGCAGCCGCGGGAAUACGAAGGGUGCAAGCGUUAAUCGGAAUUACUGGGCGUAAAGGGUGCGUAGGCGGUUUGAUAAGUCUUGUGUGAAAUCUCUGGGCUCAACCCAGAGUCUGCACAGGAAACUGUCGGGCUUGAGAGUGGGAGAGGUGAGUGGAAUUUCCGGUGUAGCGGUGAAAUGCGUAGAUAUCGGAAGGAACACCUGUGGCGAAAGCGGCUCACUGGACCAUUUCUGACGCUGAUGCACGAAAGCUAGGGGAGCAAACAGGAUUAGAUACCCCAGUAGUCCCUGUCUCUUAUAC